CAGCCGCCACGGUAAUACGUAGGUGGCAAGCGUUGUCCGGAAUUAUUGGGCGUAAAGGGCUCGCAGGCGGUUUCUUAAGUCUGAUGUGAAAGCCCCCGGCUCAACCGGGGAGGGUCAUUGGAAACUGGGAAACUUGAGUGCAGAAGAGGAGAGUGGAAUUCCACGUGUAGCGGUGAAAUGCGUAGAGAUGUGGAGGAACACCAGUGGCGAAGGCGACUCUCUGGUCUGUAACUGACGCUGAGGAGCGAAAGCGUGGGGAGCGAACAGGAUUAGAUACCCGCGUAGUCCCUGUCUCUUAUAC
rnacentral:rRNA from 1 species